rnacentral:RNase_P_RNA from 1 species
CGUGGCAUGCGGAUGAUCGCCUCCCGCUUUGCGGGGGGAGGAAAGUCCGGACUCCCCCUUGGUUCGCCCAAGGGAAAGAAAGCAGUGGGUAAUGCCCACCGUCCCGGCGAGUCGGGACAGGGAAAGUGCCACAGAGACAAUACUACCACAUAUCUAUUUUGAUAGGUGUAUGGGAAAGGUGAAAAGUCGUCCGGUGCGCGAAAAGCGCUACGGGCCUCGCUCCCUGGUGACAGGGAUGCGCGGUAAACCCUGCUUGGAGCAAGGACAAACUCUCGUACUUUCGGGUACGGGUAUGAAAAGUAGUCCGCUUGAUCCCGAGGAGAAAUCCACGGGACAGAUAAAUGAUCAUCCACCUGCAAAAUGGGCGGGGGACAGAAUCCGGCUUAUAGCUUGCCUCGAAGG